UUCGUCUUGGAGUGGCGACUGAUGAAUUUUUCUAACGGUGCCCUAAAUACAAGUCUCGACGUUUGGCUUCUAAAGACAAGUCUUGCCGUUUUGUCUUACAAGAACGAGUCUCGCCGUUUGUCAAGCUGGAUUAACGCAAAAAAAAUCUCCAGAGAGAGAGAGAGAAGUGAAGGGAGACUGAGCUCGAGGAUGGGGCUUCAUGGGAGGGGUGAGAGCCAAGAGGUAUUGCAGCAGAGGGAAACAGGGGGCUAUACAGCAGUGGAGGCAGGGGCAGGGGAUCGCUCAGCGUUGCAGCGAUGGAGGCCGGGACGGAGGAUCGCUCAGCUUUGCCGCGAUUUCCUUAUCCGAAGUCCAAAACCACUUCAGUACCUGUACCACAAUGAGGGAGAGUAAGCCAGUUAGAGGAUAUGAGCUCCUCCUCUCCUGAAUUCUGAUUCAUUUUCACUCGCGUCGGCUCAAAAAACAAAACGGCAUAUCUCGCCCCUUAUAUUUUUCCAAUCUCGGAACUCCAAAGAGAGCCGGAGCCAAAAAUAACUAUCUGCUAUCGCUGAUCCCAGCCUGGUGGAUGUUUUGAUGAAGGUGAAUGGUUAAGAAAUGCAUUUAGGUGGUGAGAAACCAUUGGUCCUUGGGAGGAGAGGCCUGGACACUUUGGUGAUGUUUGGAUGUACUAGACGGAUGAUGGACUUGGAUACUAUAAAUUUCUUCAACUAGCAGAGGACCUUGGUGCAUUGCCGAUAUGGGUCUUCAAUAAUGGAAUUAGUCAUAAUGACUAGGUCAAUACUCCCACAAUCUUACCAUUCGUGCAGGUAAGUCUUUUACUUUGACUUAUAGCCAUUCAUUAAAAUGAUUUUCCUGUGAUAGGUUUCUAAUAUGCUGAUAAGUCUUUUUGUCAUUUAACAAGAAUUAGUCAUAAUGACUAGGUCAAUACUCCCACAAUCUUACCGUU